CUUCGUUGAACUCAACACGUUUGACAGCAGUAGGAAAUUCCCACUUGUACAACUGCUUUCCUGUUUUAACAUCCCAAAGACGCAUGGUAUUGUCAGCGGCUCCACUAACCAUUAAAGUGCUACUUUCUGUUUCAGUUAGUAACCAUUGGAAAAGGAACAGAUGAUCUAGUUGGAUUUGAGGCAUCAAGAAGAAGGAAAAGGAUUUAAAAGAAGUUUAAAUGCUUUCCACGAGGAAGUGAAGUGAGGUAAACGUAGCAUUAAUAUAAGUAAAGGAGAUGCACCAUGCAUAUUUAACUUUAAGUACUACGCCAACUCAGAAUCGUGGAUCACGAGUAUAACCAUCUGCAAUCGGACGACUAAUAAAAAAAAUACAUUUAUUAGAGUCAUGAUAUGUUUCAUUAUUCGUGUUUCCUUAUACUUCCAUAAUCCGUAUACCUUUAGAUGUCUUAAUCCAACAUACAUCACCACCAAUUUUCACGUACUAUUAAUAUCACAAGUCCAAAUUGCACCAGUAUGACCCUCAUAUGUACCUAGGCGUUCACCAUUGUGUGAAAACCAGACAUUAAUCACUUUAUCCUUGGCACAUGAGAAUAAUAAAUCACCCUACACACAAAAAUUAGUAAAUUUUCCACAUAUAAUGGACGGUUAUUAAACCUACAUCGUGAUUAUAUUUUAUUUGAGUCAAAGGACGCUCAUGACCCUGUAAAAUGAUAGGCCUCAUCUUUUGAACAGGAAAGUGCUGGUAGAGGGUUUGAGCGAAAAGUCUUUAGUUGUAAUAUUUUGAUUCUAAUUAGCGUAACUUAAGGAUGGUAUUAAAAAUAAGGAGGCUUAACGACACUCUUAAAUGAACUGGCUUCAUUUCUGAGACACUUGCGUUAGACUAGUUAGACCCAAAGGUCGCAC